rnacentral:rRNA from 1 species
AGGACGAACGCUGGCGGCGUGCUUAACACAUGCAAGUCGAGCGGUAAGGCUCCUUCGGGAGUACACGAGCGGCGAACGGGUGAGUAACACGUGAGCAAUCUGCCCUUCACACUGGGAUAACCUUCGGAAACGAGGACUAAUACCGGAUACGACCACCUCAGACAUCUGAUGGUGGUGGAAAGCUCCGGCGGUGAAGGAUGAGCUCGCGGCCUAUCAGCUUGUUGGUGAGGUAACGGCUCACCAAGGCUUCGACGGGUAGCCGGCCUGAGAGGGUGACGGCCACGACUGGGACUGAGACACGGCCCAGACUCCUACGGGAGGCAGCAGUGGGGAAUAUUGGACAAUGGGCGAAAGCCUGAUCCAGCAACGCCGCGUGAGGGAUGACGGCCUUCGGGUUGUAACCUCUUUCAGCAGGGACGAAGCGAAAGUGACGGUACCUGCAGAAGAAGCACCGGCCAACUACGUGCCAGCAGCCGC